CAAUAGCGUAUAUUAAAGUUGUUGCAGUUAAAAAGCUCGUAGUUGGAUUUGUGGCGUACGGUGUGUUCCGGGCACUUGUUGUCUGAGUAACCUGCUGUUGCCAUCCUUGGGUGGAACCUGUGUGGCAUUAGGUUGUCGUGCAGGGGAUGCCCAUCAUUUACUGUGAAAAAAUUAGAGUGUUCAAAGCAGGCUUAUGCCGUUGAAUAUAUUAGCAUGGAAUAAUGAGAUAGGACUUUUUUGCUAUUUUGUUGGUUUGCGCUAAGAGGUAAUGAUUAAUAGGGACAGUUGGGGGUAUUCGUAUUCCAUUGUCAGAGGUGAAAUUCUUGGAUUUUUGGAAGACGAACUACUGCGAAAGCAUUUACCAAGGAUGUUUUCAUUAA
rnacentral:rRNA from 1 species